UACGGAGGGAGCGAGCGUUGUCCGAAGUUACUGGGCGUAAAGCGCGCGUAGGCGGAUAUUUAAGUUAGGGGUGAAAUCCCAGGGCUCAACCCUGGAACUGCCUUUAAUACUGGGUAUCUCGAGUCCGAGAGAGGUGAGUGGAAUUCCGAGUGUAGAGGUGAAAUUCGUAGAUAUUCGGAGGAACACCAGUGGCGAAGGCGGCUCACUGGCUCGGUACUGACGCUGAGGUGCGAAAGCGUGGGGAGCAAACAGG
rnacentral:rRNA from 1 species